rfam:Candidatus Roizmanbacteria bacterium RIFCSPHIGHO2_12_FTLL_33_9 rifcsphigho2_12_scaffold_9900, whole genome shotgun sequence.
GCCGCGGUGAUGGAAUGGCAGACAUGCAGGACUUAAAAUCCUGUGAUCGAAUAGAUCGUGAGAGUUCGACUCUCUCCCGCGGCA